CGGAUUAGAUACCCUGGUAGUCCCAGCCUUAAACGGUGUGCACUUGGUGUGGGGGGUGUUGACCCCCUCCGUGCCGAAGCUAACGCAUUAAGUGCACCGCCUGGGGAGUACGGUCGCAAGGCUAAAACUCAAAGAAAUUGACGGGGGCCCGCACAAGCGGAGGAGCAUGUGGCUUAAUUCGAUGCAACGCGAAAAACCUUACCAGGGCUUGACAUGUAGCUGCACGCCCCGGGAAACCGGGGAAGCCUUCGAGGGUGCUACACAGGUGCUGCAUGGCUGUCGUCAGUUCGUGCCGUGAGGUGUUGGGUUAAGUCCCGCAACGAACGCAACCCCUGUGCUUAGUUGCCACCCCCGGUGAUGAAUCGGGGAGCACUCUAAGCAGACUGCCCGUACAAGCGGGAGGAAGGUGGGGACGACGUCAAGUCAGUAUGGCCCUUACGCUCUGGGCUGCACACGUGCUACAAUGGCCGGCACAGAGGGAUGCAAGACCGCGAGGUGGAGCAAAUCCCCAAAAACCGGCCCCAGUUCGGAUUGAAGGCUGCAACUCGCCUUCAUGAAGUUGGAUUCGCUAGUAACGGCGUAUCAGCUACGACGCCGUGAAUACGUUCCCGGGCCUUGUACACACCGCCCGUCACAUCAUGAAAGCCGUCUGCACCCGAAGUCGCUGUACCAACCCGCAAGGGGGGAAGGUGCCUAAGGUGUGGGUGGUGAUUGGGAUGAAGUCGUAACAAG
rnacentral:rRNA from 1 species